AAUUCUCAACCUGUCAAGCUUUGUUUCUAAAGCUUGUCAGGCUUGGAUCUUGGGAGUUUGUCGGUUCUAGCGAGUCGGCUCUCCUUAAAUGUAUUAGCAAGAUUAAUCGCUGUAUUAUCUUUGAUAUGAUAAUUAUCUAUAUCAUCGAUGAAAUAAGCGUUUUCCUUCACGGGAAAGAUCUGGCUUUCUAAUCGUCUUUCGAGACAACUAGAUUGAAUC
rnacentral:misc_RNA from 1 species